GGAAGAAAAUUGUCUAUUCGUUAUAUUUGUUUUAAAUUGUUGCAUGACAUUGAGUUCCUGCUUGGAACAGUACAAAAAUCUCUAGUUAAUGGAGAAGAAGUCCAGCCUGAAUGGUCUAUGUACCUUGCCAUUUUGGAAGAACUGAACUUCAUUUCUAGACUUUGCCCCCAUUCUCGGGAUAAAUUUUGGAGUGUAUUAAAAAGUGCAAAGCUUCCAUUAGGUGCUCUAAUUGUUCGAUUCGCUAAGAGAAGAGAUGGCUAUGACUAUCAAUUGCUUCUUGAGCACAACGAUGUAACUGAUAGUGAUUCCAGGAUGCACUUGGCCAUGUUGAUGAUCCCUGGUGUUAAGGAAUCUACAGAUGCAGAGUUGAUGAAGAAGCUAGUUUUCUGGUCUCAAGAUUUGGACACAGAUCAAUUUAGGGCAUUCCAACAUAAGAGUCUUAAAGAUCCUCAAGUAUUACAGGAUUGCUUAUGCAAGUCAUGUGAAGUUAUAUUCAACCCAAAUAAUCCCCUUUUCCUGGCACAUCCAGGCGAUUCUCCAAGUUUCAAUGUUAAUCCUGGUAAGUUCAAUCCCAAAAGGGUAACUUAGUUAACGAAAUUAGAAUCCAAGACUGUUAAUUUGGUGGAAUUAAUAUCAUUUCCUUACUUAUACACAUGUUAUAUAAGCAGAAUUCAAUCCUGAACCCUCCCACUAUGAAUUUGUGGAAUUUGCUGGCAAAGUGAUUGCAUUAGCUUUAAUACAUAAAGUGAGAAUAGGUGUCGCAUUGGACGGUGUGUUCCUAACGCAGCUAGCCAAUUCAUCUAUGUCUUAUACGUCUAAUAAGGAUCUGCUGGUAAGUUCAAUAAUUCCGAACAUUUGGGAUUUUUUCGAGAUAGGUUGUGAUACAGUAAGGCUCUUGAACUUAAUUUGCCGCUAAUAUAUCUUAAACAGGUAUCAUUUUUUGCUCAAGGCUUUGCCAGUGUUUUUGGCGUGUCAUUCAAAGAAUUGUUGUCUUUCAAAGGAUUACAAUAUGAAGACAUUAAUCAAGUGCUGUGUGGACCCUCGACAAGUUCAGUACUAUCUAAUAGUAGUGGGAAAAGAAAGAAGGAGAUACGCAUCGAUCCUCCAUUGUCUCACGGCAAGGAGGUAAGGACUUUUCUGGUUUUUACUUGGUUUCCCCAAGUUUUGAUUUUUUUUUUUUUUUUUUUCUGUAAGAGUAAAUUUUUUAUACUAAAAGUUCUCCACAAAUCUUCAAGUAUUGCAAGGAUUUACCCUUUCAGGUUACAGUAGCGCUAAAAGUUCUAAACUGCUGUUAAAUCUGCAAACUUAAUCUACCACCGUUGUAGACUAGUUGAGAACUAAAGCAAGCGUGAUGAAUUUGGCAGGUCAAAAAACCAGAACGUAACUUUAGGAAUUGGCAAAGGGGCUCAAUGUUGGGAAGUGGGUCGUUUGGAGAAGUCUACAAAGGAACUGCUGAUCCCAACGGAUUCCUUUUUGCUGCAAAAAAAGUUCCACUUGAAGACACACAAAAAGUCAGCUCAAUUGAGCAUACGGUUGGUUCACUACGUCAACUACAUCACGAAAAUAUAGUCGAAUAUUUUGGCACAAAAAAGGAGGAAGCAAAUCUCUAUAUUUUUCACGAGUUUGUAAGUGGAGGGUCUCUCGAUAAAGUUCAUAAAGAAUUAAUCCUUGAUGAUGCCCGAGUGUCCUGCUACACACAACAGAUACUGAAAGGUUUGAAGUAUCUCCAUGAGCAAAAUGUUAUGCAUGGAGACAUCAAAUGUGCAAACAUACUGUUGAAUGAUAAAGGAGUUGUGCAGAUUGCUGAUUUUGGAUUGGCAAAGGUAAUUGAUUCAGAGAAUCUCCACAACUCAAGCAGAGCGAUUCCAGCCUGGUCCGCUCCUGAGGUCAUUGAUUCGACACGACAAGGAGGAUAUGGACUUGAAGCAGAUAUAUGGAGCCUUGGCUGUACCGUAUUAGAGAUGCUAACUGGAGAAUAUCCAUAUUGUCAUUUAGAACCCUGGACGAUAUGGUAUCGGAUUGGAGAAGGCAUUCCACCUGAUGUUCCUGAUUUUCUCUCUGAUACUUCCCGUGACUUUAUCGAGAAAUGCCUACAAAUUGAUCCAAAGGCACGUCCAACUGCUGCCCAGCUUUUACAGCAUCCAUUUGUAAAGAGGUGAAAGCAAUCAGCAGCACCUGCAAGCAGAAUGAGAAAAAUAUGUCAUGAACUGACGACAAAAUGGAUUGAUUAAUGCUUAUAGUAAAGAGCGAUGUAUGAUUUAAUUUGAUAUAUGGUGCAAAUUGCUGAUUUUGGAUUGGGAAAUGUAAUUGCUUAGAAUCUUUAAUUUGGUAUCACAGGAAUCUUCUUAUAUGGCAACACUCGCUGUUAGGAUCAUAUACAAUGGAUCCUAACUGUUCAUGCGAGAAUAACAUAACAGUAGUGUUUGGAAGAUGAGAAAAGAAAAGAAAGGGUGAGAGAGAGAGAAUAGAAAAGAGGAUAGUAUAUUCAUUCGUUAAUUUAUUAACCUUCAAUAUCUCAAUACAAGAGUACAUACAAUGUGCCUGCUCAACACUAAUAUCAGUUCAACACCUAAUUAAUUGCUUCUCAUGUACUUGCAACUAAUCACAAUAAAGCUCCCAUAUCAAUACUUAUUAUAAUAUAUCCUAACAUAGUCCUCACACCCGCACGCCCCUUCCUCCAUGGUUGUUUCUCUUGAUCUACGCUGCCUUAAUGACUGGAAAUCUGCAAAAGAAACUAGUACAGUAACAUGUACUUCGAUAUUUGCUCAUUGUUGGAUUCCACCGCAUGCUGGCUCUCUCAAGUGCAACGUAUAAACUACCAUAUUUCCAAAUCAUAAUGGUAUGAAUUUAGGGCCAUUGUCAGGGAUUCUAAUGGACAGUUUGUUGCGGCUUAUCUGGACUUACUGCAGGUCUAAACACUCCUCAGAUGGCUGAAGUGCUUGGCAUUGCUGGGGUUUUUCUUGGAUCAAACUUCAGCAUGUUAAAGCAAUCGAGCGUUUUGUUCUACAGAUCGGGAUGAUUCAGAGUUUGGUAGAAUUAUAAAUGAUUGUAAGAAGACAAGCUAAUAAACUGAUAUUAUUAUUUCUGAUUCUAUCGUGCAUUAAUAAGAGUAUCCUUUUAUUCCUUAAAAAAACCACCUCUUAAAAAUUAACUUAAAAACAAAAAUUAUAACAUGAAUUGGAAAUCAUAUGGAAUGUUCUCAAUAGUGUAUACAAUAGGUAUCAUCAGAUAAUUUUCAUGGAUCUGGAUUGAGCUUUUCAGAUUCACUCCAGAUGAGUUCCUUGAUAUUUUCCAGAGGAAAUAGUGGCUGCUCAAAAUCAAAGUUGAAAGGGCUUGGGCAAACAGGCUCCUCAUUUUUACAGUGAUAAAGUGUCAAGUAAGGGUGGUUUAGAGCAUCAUCAACUGCAAAGAAGGAAACAAGAUGGGAGAAUCUUUGUCAAUCAGUAAUAUUAAUUACACUAAAUUUAAGAAUUUAAUAAAGACCUAAAAAGUAAGACAUGAUUUCAACAUGUUUUGUCAACCAUGACCUUCAUUCUAACUAUCUGUUAUCAUUUUCAUCCUUAAAUCUUAUCACUGUGCUACAAAACCGCCAUUAGAAUACAUAAUCAAGUCACCUGCCACAAGAUUAUACCUGUGUUAUGUGUAAGUUACCGUCUUAUUAUUAAACGUCCGACUGAUGAAAUAUUAGACUAAAACUGAGAUAAAAAGUAGGAGCGUUCCGACAACAAUAGCUUUAACCAAAACGCUAUCUCUGUGAAUUAUAGAAUUGAUAACAAAUUUUAUAAUAGCAUUUAAACCGUUAUAUGAAUAACUAUCGGUUAAUAGUUAUUAAAUAAUUAAUUUGACUAAAGACACAGUUACAAAAAAAUUUGUGAUUUGAUCUAAUAUAAAAAUAUAAAAAAAUUAAUUCAGUUUAUGAUUUUGAAAUCAAAAUAUUCUAAACUGAAUUGAAUCAAACAAAACGUAUAUUAAUAUGUAUUUUUUUAUGUACAUCUAGAUUAAUCAAAUUUUUUUUAAUAAACUAUAUAUAUUAUAAAUUUUUUGGUAUAUCUUACCUAUACUACUAAGUCAAUAAGUCAAUAAGUUUUCUACAAAAAAAAAAAAGUAUUCAUAAAUCUUUAACAAUGUAAAGUAUUUUGUAUAAUUUUCUUUUAUAUAGCAAUAAAUAUGUUUCACACCACCCACCUAACACAAUUCAUAAAAAAGAAAAUUAGUAGUUUUUUUUUUAAAGAAUAUAAAAUCAGUAGUUAAAAGUCAAUACUUGAUGCUGAAUGAUUUGAAAAACAAUUAUAUAUUUAUGUUGUAUUAUUACUUUUUAAUUAUAACAUUAUUUAUGAUUAUAUUUCGUUAAAUAUUUAUAAAUAAUUAGAAUAAAAAUAAAAGAUAAAUAAUCCAAUUAAAACAAGUUGAUUUGGUCUAACUGUGAUUUAGUUAUCAAAUCAAUUCGAUAUCUGAUCCGAUUUUAAGAAUAGUGAUUUUCUUUUUAAAAAAAAAUUAAAAUAAAAAAUACUCUUUAAAAAAUCGAUUCCCACUUGCUCACACAACAUUUGCUAAAGAUUCUGUGUGUCAUAUAACACUUUCUCAUUCACACCGAUCAGCUAGUGCGCUGUCACUUGAUAUCGGAUCUUUUCUAAAUGAAGAAUUUGCCCUUCGACGGGAACUCCUACUAUUACUAUCUGCCUACGUCACUCUUUAUUUAAUAAAGCUAUUUCCCACGGUCAAGCCUAGUAGAGCUCCUAGUCAGCUCACUUCACGCGCACAGGCAAGACAUUAUUGCUUAUGUUUAGGCGUGACAUAACACUUUUAAUUUAUUAAUAGGAAAUUAGGUAGAAUAUGUUGAUAGAAAAGUCUAUUUUGUUUAAUUUAAUUCAACAAUGUCGGUUUAAUUAAUUAAUUGGAAAUUGAGGUGGAAAAGGACAUAGAAAAGUUUGUUUUGUGUCGGUUAAUUUGCUUUUUUAAAGGACAUUAGCGGUUUGUUCUUUCAUUCUCGGAUGACAUUCUUUCUUCUCCUCACCUCUGUUGAAUCAAAACUCCUUAUCGACUGAUGUCAAGAUCUCUAGUCGUAAGAUCACGACAGAAUUAAAGGAUUAGGGUUUUAGGGGAAUAUAAACAUAAGAAAAUUGAGAGAGAAGAGAAGAGAAGAGGAAGAAUAAGAGAUACAAAGAAAAUUUAUUCCACUGAUAAGAUCAUCAUUCACCGCCGUUAACAUCAAUCCGGUUGUUCUUCCGUUAUGGCAAGCGAAGUAGCCGAACAGUCAUUACCCUCGUCUGAUAGACAGAACAUACCGGCUCCGGUUACAUUGAAUGAGAUCAAUGCAAUAAUUUCAAUCUUACAUAGGAUGCGCCAAGGGGAAUCCACUUUAGUCUAUGGAUGCAUGAACUGCUAUAUGUACAAUUUGCUCGGCAACUUGAAAGAUCCCGAGCCAUUGGACGCACUAAUUCAGUCUUGUAUUCUUAAGCAUUUGGCUGCGCUUUAUGCAUCAGAAAAUAUAAGAGACAGCAAGAAGGCUGACUAUUAUAUUAGGUAUCUGUUGUAUUUGAUGAUUGCUGAAAAGACAACAGGUUUUCUUGAUGAACGUGCUUCUGUAAUUCUACAGUUAUGCAAGUUUUUGAGGACGAUGGUUUGUCUUGAGGAUUCUUUAUAUGUUUUAAGUCUUCACAGUUUAAGAGAUUUGGCGGAAAAGGCCAAUUAUGUGCUUCUUGAUAGGUAUAAAAUAUUGUUCCCGGAAUGGCAGACUCUACCCAUGUUUGACGAUUUGGCAUAUAGAUUGCUGAAGGAUUUGCAUCAGUGCAUCACUUCACCUUCAACCAAGGAGACAAUGGACUCAUUAAUAAGUGAUUUUCGUGACUUCAAGGCAUUAUCACGCCUUUUAUACCAUGCUAUUCAGGAACAGAAAGAGAAGCAAGAAGACAAGGGGAAGGAAGAGGAGGAGGAGGAGGAGGAGAAGGCAGCGCCCAUUUCUUCAGAGAGAUAUAAAAAUGACGGAAGAAAAUUGUCUAUUCAUUAUAUUUGUUUUAAAUUGUUGCAUGACAUUGAGUUCCUGCUUUGAACAGUACAAAAAUCUCUAGUUAAUGGAGAAGAAGUCCAGCCUGAAUGGUCUAUGUACCUUGCCAUUUUGGAAGAACUGAACUUCAUUUCUAGACUUUGCCCCCAUUCUCGGGAUAAAUUUUGGAGUGUAUUAAAAAGUGCAAAGCUUCCAUUAGGUGCUCUAAUUGUUCGAUUCGCUAAGAGAAGAGAUGGCUAUGACUAUCAAUGGCUUCUUGAGCACAACGAUGUAACUGAUAAUGAUUCCAGGAUGCAUUGGCCAUGUUGAUGAUCCCUGGGGUUAAGG
rnacentral:lncRNA from 1 species